rnacentral:rRNA from 1 species
UACAGAGGGUGCGAGCGUUAAUCGGAAUUACUGGGCGUAAAGCGCACGUAGGUGGAUAUUUAAGUCGGAAGUGAAAGCCCUGGGCUUAACCUAGGAAUUGCCUCCGAUACUGGAUAUCUAGAGUAUGGUAGAGGAUAGUGGAAUUUCCGGUGUAGCGGUGAAAUGCGUAGAUAUCGGAAGGAACACCAGUGGCGAAGGCGGCUAUCUGGACCAAUACUGACACUUAGGUGCGAAAGCGUGGGGAGCAAACAGG